GCGGAUUUAGCUCAGUUGGGAGAGCGCCAGACUGAAGAAAAGCGAAACCGCGUCUCCCGUGUGUCCGCCCGUUCUCCGCAAUCUGGAGGUCCUGUGUUCGAUCCACAGAAUUCGCA
rnacentral:tRNA from 1 species